GAUGAACGCUAGCGGCAGGCUUAAUACAUGCAAGUCGAGGGACAGCACAGGUAGCAAUACUGGGUGGUAACCGGCAAACGGGUGCGGAACACGUACACAACCUUCCUUUAAGUGGGGGAUAGCCCAGAGAAAUUUGGAUUAAUACCCCGUAAUAUAGUUGAAUGGCAUCAUUUGAUUAUUAUAGCUACGGCGCUUAAUGAUGGGUGUGCGGCUGAUUAGAUAGUUGGCGAGGUAACGGCCCACCAAGUCUACGAUCAGUAGCUGAUGUGAGAGCAUGAUCAGCCACGCGGGCACUGAGACACGGGCCCGACUCCUACGGGAGGCAGCAGUAAGGAAUAUUGGUCAAUGGACGCAAGUCUGAACCAGCCAUGCCGCGUGAAGGAUUAAGGUCCUCUGGAUUGUAAACUUCUUUUAUUUGGAACGAAAAAGGGCCUUUCUAGGUCAACUGACGGUACCAGAUGAAUAAGCACCGGCUAACUCCGUGCCAGCCGCCGCCGUAACAC
rnacentral:rRNA from 1 species